rnacentral:rRNA from 1 species
CAGUCGAGGGGCAUCAGGAAGAAGCUUGCUUUCUUUGCUGGCGACCGGCGCACGGGUGAGUAACACGUAUCCAACCUGCCCUUUACUCGGGGAUAGCCUUUCGAAAGAAAGAUUAAUACCCGAUGGCAUAAUGAUUCCGCAUGGUUUCAUUAUUAAAGGAUUCCGGUAAAGGAUGGGGAUGCGUUCCAUUAGGUUGUUGGUGAGGUAACGGCUCACCAAGCCUUCGAUGGAUAGGGGUUCUGAGAGGAAGGUCCCCCACAUUGGAACUGAGACACGGUCCAAACUCCUACGGGAGGCAGCAGUGAGGAAUAUUGGUCAAUGGGCGCUAGCCUGAACCAGCCAAGUAGCGUGAAGGAUGAAGGCUCUAUGGGUCGUAAACUUCUUUUAUAUAAGAAUAAAGUGCAGUAUGUAUACUGUUUUGUAUGUAUUAUAUGAAUAAGGAUCGGCUAACUCCGUGCCAGCAGCCGCGGUAAUACGGAGGAUCCGAGCGUUAUCCGGAUUUAUUGGGUUUAAAGGGAGCGUAGGUGGACUGGUAAGUCAGUUGUGAAAGUUUGCGGCUCAACCGUAAAAUUGCAGUUGAUACUGUCAGUCUUGAGUACAGUAGAGGUGGGCGGAAUUCGUGGUGUAGCGGUGAAAUGCUUAGAUAUCACGAAGAACUCCGAUUGCGAAGGCAGCUCACUGGACUGCAACUGACACUGAUGCUCGAAAGUGUGGGUAUCAAACAGGAUUAGAUACCCUGGUAGUCCACACAGUAAACGAUGAAUACUCGCUGUUUGCGAUAUACAGUAAGCGGCCAAGCGAAAGCAUUA